AAAGAAAUAAUAAUAAUAAUAACAAUAUCUAGUAAUUAUAAUUAUGCAUCUUCGUUCGAUCAUACGAAUUGAGACAAUUGAAGAGGAAACGGAUGAGAGAAUGCUACGCGAGGAUUAAUCAGAGACUAAUUGAUCCUCCUGAGAUUAAGGUCAACCUUUUAAGACGGUGCAUUGAGAAAAAUCUGUUGGUAUUUAGAGUCGCGGCAUCAUGAGCCUAUACUCUUGUAACUACACUGUACUGAAGAUUCAUAUCUUAAAAUGAUAAAAAACAAAGUAUUAUAAUUUUAUUAAUAAGCUAAUAUUAAUUUUUAUUCUCUCUUUUCCGUAAAGUUACUGUUAAGAUAUAAUAUAUAAUAAUAAUCUAAUUGUAAAAUUAUAAAACUCUAAAAUCAUGUCCGAAUUGUCACUAAAAAGCAUAACAUUUUGAUAGUAAAUCAAUUUGGCAGCACCAUCGUUUGCCUUUUCGAUUUAAACGACACUUUCGAUUUCAAUCGGUUUGUAGAAUGUUCGAUCCAAAUAUUGAAACAUCGCUUGUGAUUCUAUCACGUAGAUCACGUUCAAAAUAUUUUUGACGUAUCGUCACUUCCGGUAAAAAAAAUACGUUAAAUCAAAUUUAACGUGACAAGGAGACAAAAAUUGCUCAAACAGCUCGCGAAAGAAUUUUUAUUCGGAAAUAGUAACGGCGUGGAUAUUUGAUGGCCGGCCGUUUCGAAACUGGCCUCUUGCAUUUUGCAUGAACGAAGGACGGGUUCUAGUGCCAAGGGCCACCCUUUUGCCGGCCACGUAGUGGGGUGAGCCACGGAUCUGGUCAGGUUUCGCUUAACCCCUUGCGACUCGUCUUUGAAUGGUACGACGUACGUUGAUUGAAUACUAUCACCAAUUCAAGAAAUCGAUUUUACACAAGAAUUUUCGCAUAUGAUGUUUUAUACUUGAGAUAUUAAUAAAAAUGUAAAAGAUGACUAUAAAGAAGAAAGAUCAAUUAUUCUAGAUCAAUGGAAAUAUA